GCCAGCGUGGCAUUGGGGUUUCAGCGUUGGACUAGGACUCUGGAGAUCAGGGUUCGAUUCCCAGCUCAGCCA